UACGGUGGGGGCAAGCGUUGUUCGGAAUUACUGGGCGUAAAGGGCUCGUAGGUGGCCAACUAAGUCAGACGUGAAAUCCCCAGGCUUAACCUGGGAACUGCGUCUGAUACUGGAUGGCUUGAAUUCGGGAGAGGGAUGCAGAAUUCCAGGUGUAGCGGUGAAAUGCGUAGAUAUCUGGAGGAAUACCGGUGGCGAAGGCGGCAUCCUGGACCGAGAUUGACACUGAUGAGCGAAAGCCAGGGGAGCAAACGGG
rnacentral:rRNA from 1 species